rnacentral:rRNA from 1 species
UGGAUGAUGUGGUUAAUUCGAUGCAACGCGAAAACUUACCACUUUGACAUGUACGGAACCUUUAGAGAUAGAGGGUGCUCGAAAGAGAGCCGUAACACAGGUGCUGCAUGGCUGUCGUCAGCUCGUGUCGUGAGAUGUUGGGUUAAGUCCCGCAACGAGCGCAACCCUUGUCAUUAGUUGCUACAUUCAGUUGGGCACUCUAAUGAGACUGCCGGUGACAAGCCGGAGGAAGGUGGGGAUGACGUCAAGUCCUCAUGGCCCUUAUAGGUGGGGCUACACACGUCAUACAAUGGCUGGUACAAAGGGUUGCCAACCCGCGAGGGGGAGCCAAUCCCAUAAAGCCAGUCGUAGUCCGGAUCGUAGUCUGCAACUCGACUACGUGAAGUCGGAAUCGCUAGUAAUCGUGGAUCAGAAUGUCACGGUGAAUACGUUCCCGGGUCUU